GAUGAACGCUGGCGGCGUGCCUUAGGCAUGCAAGUCGAACGGGAAGUCUUCGGACUUCUAGUGGCGGAAGGGUGAGUAACGCGUGGGAACGUACCUAUUGGUGGAGAAUAGCUCGCCGAAAGGCGGGAUAAUUCUGCAUAAGACCGCAAGGUGAAAGGGCUUAACCGCCCGCCGAUAGAGCGGCCUGCGUCCUAUCAGCUUGUUGGUGAGGUAAAGGCUUACCAAGGCGACGAUCAGUAGCUGGUCUGAGAGGAUGAUCAGCCACACUGGGACUGAGACACGGCCCAGACUCCUACGGGAGGCAGCAGUGGGGAAUAUUGGACAAUGGGCGCAAGCCUGAUCCAGCCAUGCCGCGUGGGUGAUGAAGGCCUUAGGGUUGUAAAGCUCUUUUAUCCGGGACGAUAAUGACGGUACCGGAGGAAUAAGCCCCGGCUAACUUCGUGCCAGCAGCCGCCGUAA
rnacentral:rRNA from 1 species